UAGGGAAUAUUGGACAAUGGGUGAGAGCCUGAUCCAGCCAUGCCGCGUGCAGGAAGAAGGCGUUAUGCGUUGUAAACUGCUUUUGCCAGGGGAUAAAAAGACCGUGCGCGGUUAAUUGAAGGUACCUGGUGAAUAAGCCACGGCUAACUACGUGCCAGCAGCCACGGUAAUACGUAGGUGGCAAGCGUUGUCCGGAUUUAUUGGGUUUAAAGGGUGCGUAGGUGGCCCUGUAAGUCAGUGGUGAAAUAUCUCAGCUUAACUGAGAGGGUGCCAUUGAUACUGCAGGGCUUGAGUACAGAUGAGGUAGGCGGAAUUGACGGUGUAGCGGUGAAAUGCAUAGAUAUCGUCAAGAACACCGAUAGCGAAGGCAGCUUACCAAGCUGUAACUGACACUGAGGCACGAAAGUGUGGGGAUCAAACAGGAUUAGAUACCCUUGUAGUCCCUGAGCGGGCUGGCAAGGCG
rnacentral:rRNA from 1 species